rnacentral:rRNA from 1 species
GGGGUGCAGCAGGCGCGAAAACUUUGCAAUGCGGGAAACCGUGACAAGGGAACUCUGAGUGCCCGUUAAAUCGGGCUGUCCAUCGGUUUAAAUAACCGGUGAAGAAAGGGCCGGGCAAGACCGGUGCCAGCCGCCGCGGUAAUACCGGCGGCUCGAGUGGUGGCCACUAUUACUGGGCUUAAAGCGUUCGUAGCUGGUUUGUUAAGUCUCUGGGGAAAUCUUCCGGCUUAACCGGAAGGCGUCUCAGGGAUACUGGCAGACUAGGGACCGGGAGAGGUGAGAGGUACUCCAGGGGUAGGAGUGAAAUCCUGUAAUCCUUGGGGGACCACCUGUGGCGAAGGCGUCUCACCAGAACGGCUCCGACAGUGAGGGACGAAAGCUGGGGGAGCAAACCGGAUUAGAUACCCGGGUAGUCCCAGCUGUAAACGAUGUGCGUUAGGUGUAUCGGUGACCACGAGUCACCGAGGUGCCGAAGAGAAAUCGUGAAACGUACCGCCUGGGAAGUACGGUCGCAAGGCUGAAACUUAAAGGAAUUGGCGGGGGAGCAAAGGGCGAUUCGCG